rnacentral:lncRNA from 1 species
UCUCCCCCUGACGCCCGUGCGCAACUAUCCUCAGAUAUGUUGGCAUUUAAUGUGCGCAUGUCGGAGCCCUUUUUUCAAUUAGGGCAACCCGAAGAGUCUUUUCGGAACUCCCACCGGGACGUGAUCCCAAGCGUCGUGCCAUGAAAGUUUGCGAACAGUCAACCCCAGGUAGCGGCGAAUGGGACAUGCGGGACACGUGGU